GGCGCAGGGUGACGUCAUCGACCGCAUCGAGCUCCACGUGCAGCGCUCGGGGGCGCGGCUGGAAAAGGGGCGGGGCCACCUGCGGGGGGCGGGGCUUCGCCAGCGGGCGGCCCGACGGAAGCGCCUGGCUCUCGCCGCCUGCGCCUCGGUCGCCAUCUUGGUCCUGGUCGCCAUCGUGGCCGCCUCAGUGGCGGCGGGAUAGCGCCGCGCCCUCCCAUUGGCUGAGAGCGCUGCCAAUCAACGGAAAUACCACCCUCCGCCGCUGCCGAUUGGGCGGGGGGGAAAGCCCGCCCUGCUCGUUUGGGAUUGGGCGGUGGAGGUGUCAGUCAGGCCGCGCGCGGUUCUUAUUGGUUGGUGGUGAUGUCACCGCGCCGAGGAGCGGAGCUCCGGCCGCGCGCGGUUCCUAUUGGCUGGUGGUGACGUCACCGGCGAAUAAAGCACUUUUUACCCCAAA